GUUCUGGAAACAGGAAAAGGACCCAUCUUAUUCCAAAAGCUGGACUGGCAUUCUAGCUCAUCCUGGGUCUUUCUUUGUCUGGUUGGCUGCAUUUGGAAGGACCUUGCUGAACUUGACCUCUGGUUAUGCUCUGAAACUGUUCUCUUAAAAAGCUACCAUGGAGUGGUCCUGCCAGCCCUGGCAAUGUCUCACCACCUGUGCAUCAGUGCCA
rnacentral:lncRNA from 1 species